GAUGAACGCUGGCGGCGUGCCUAACACAUGCAAGUCGAGCGGAUGGACGGGGCUUUUGCCUGGAUUCAGCUGGGGGCGGGCGGGUGAUGCACAGGAGUCUGCCUUGCCUUUGGGGCUGACAUCCGUAAGCGAGCGCUGAUAUCACACACGUCCAGAUGGUGAACCGGGGGGAUCUUCGGAAAUAUACCGUCUUGAUGUGCCUAGUUCGGAUUAGCUAGUUGGUUGGGUAAGGGCUUACCAAGGCGACGAUCCGUAGCCGGCCUGAGAGGAUGACCAGCCACACUGGAACUGAGACACGGUCCAGACUCCUACGGGAGGCAGCAGUAGGGAAUCUUGGGCAAUGGGCGAAAGCCUGAUCGAGCCACGCCGCGUGUGUGAAGAAGGUCUUCGGAUUGUAAAGCACUUUAAUUUGGGAGGAAGAGAAGUAUGUUUAUCUGUUGACGUUUUGACGUUACCUACACAAUAAGCACCGGCUAACUUCGUG
rnacentral:rRNA from 1 species